GACGAACGCUGGCGGCGCGCCUAACACAUGCAAGUCGAACGGAGCUUUGAGAGCUUGCUUUUAAAGCUUAGUGGCGAACGGGUGAGUAACGCGUGAGUAACCUGCCCUGGAGUGGGGGACAACAGUUGGAAACGACUGCUAAUACCGCAUAAGCCCACGGCCCGGCAUCGGGCUGAGGGAAAAGGAUUUAUUCGCUUCAGGAUGGACUCGCGUCCAAUUAGCUAGUUGGUGAGGUAACGGCCCACCAAGGCGACGAUGGUAGCCGGACUGAGAGGUUGAACGGCCACAUUGGGACUGAGACACGGCCCCAG
rnacentral:rRNA from 1 species